rnacentral:rRNA from 1 species
CCUACGGGAGGCAGCAGUGGGGAAUAUUGCGCAAUGGGCGAAAGCCUGACGCAGCGACGCCGCGUGAGGGAUGAAGGUCUUCGGAUCGUAAACCCCUGUCAGCAGGGAAGCACGGUCACUGUGCUAAUCAGCAGUGAAUUGACGGUACCUGCAAAGGAAGCACCGGCUAACUCCGUGCCAGCAGCCGCGGUAAUACGGAGGGUGCGUGCGUUAAUCGGAAUUGCUGGGCGUAAAGCGCUCGUAGGCGGUAUGUCAAGUCAAGGGUGAAAUCCCCGCGCUCAACGUGGGAACUGCCGUUGAAACUGGCAGACUGGAGUGUGUGAGAGGAUAGUGGAAUGCCAGGUGUAGGAGUGAAAUCCAUAGAUAUCUGGAGGAACAUCAGUGGCGAAGGCGACUAUCUGGCACAUAACUGACGCUGAGGAGCGAAAGCGUGGGUAGCGAACAGGAUUAGAUACCCCAGUAGUC